GUUUGGGAUUUGGUAGACGUUAAAUAGCUCAAAUUUACGCACAGUAUGACUCAGUUUACUCUUUUGAUAUAUCCAGCAUAUCUGGUGUUGACAUGGAAGAAGCCCCUAUGCCGGCACUUCCAAGUUUCAGGCUACCAAACAAACAACAAAAUCUCGGUUGAGCAUGUAUGAGGUCACCAUGUAUGAGGGAGAUAGCUUUUCUAAGUAGCCCCGGGCUACCAAACACACCCUAGCGCUUCCUCGACACUCUCCUCAGGUUUGGCCGCGCCUAGAAGAAGAUCGAGGAGCACAUCUGCACCAAGACCAUCGUACAGGAGAGAGAUGUUAUAGGAGGUUGAGAUUAGAAGUUGUUGCACAGAUCUGCAAGAUAUGACAUACUCAGAGUAUAGAGAGGAGAUGAUGACCAAUGAGGUAUUGAGGAUGAACAUGGUAGAGUUGCACAGGUGGGGUUGCUGGCCGUAGCUGGAGGCUUCCCUGAUUUGGGUGUGGAUAUUACAAAUGCAGCUCUAGAAGUCAUUGGUUAUUGGUGAUGGUGGUUGGCUCGGGUAGGGGGAGCUUUGGGCAUCUGUCACGUCUUCUCGUAUUAUUACAGUUUGAUCAUGAUUGAAUUUCUUCAGCAACCACGGUAGUAAACUGUUCGCUGUUUGUGUAUGCAUCUUAUGUAGCUAUUGUAAAAUGCUGCUAUGAAAGGAACCGAGUUUUAUCUCCUUAUAUUUUAGGGACCUUCUUGACUUGUUCAAGGACAAUCUACAAAUUAAGGAGAUUAAUAGCCAAGGAAUUUUGAUGUUU